rnacentral:rRNA from 1 species
GAACGCUGGCGGCGUGCCUAAUACAUGCAAGUCGAGCGAACAGACGAGGAGCUUGCUCCUCUGACGUUAGCGGCGGACGGGUGAGUAACACGUGGAUAACCUACCUAUAAGACUGGGAUAACUUCGGUAAACCGGAGCUAAUACCGGAUAAUAUAUUGAACCGCAUGGUUCAAUAGUGAAAGACGGUUUUGCUGUCACUUAUAGAUGGAUCCGCGCCGCAUUAGCUAGUUGGUAAGGUAACGGCUUACCAAGGCGACGAUGCGUAGCCGACCUGAGAGGGUGAUCGGCCACACUGGAACUGAGACACGGUCCAGACUCCUACGGGAGGCAGCAGUAGGGAAUCUUCCGCAAUGGGCGAAAGCCUGACGGAGCAACGCCGCGUGAGUGAUGAAGGUCUUCGGAUCGUAAAACUCUGUUAUUAGGGAAGAACAAAUGUGUAAGUAACUAUGCACGUCUUGACGGUACCUAAUCAGAAAGCCACGGCUAACUACGUG